ensembl:rRNA 5S_rRNA 5S ribosomal RNA
UCUAUCAUCCAUUAUUCCUUUUUUAUUUUUUUUUCCUGAUCUCAGAAGCUAAGCAGGAUCUGGCUUGGUUAGUACUUGGAUGGGAGACAGUCUGAAAAUACCAGGUGCUGUAGGC